AAGGAUUUAAGUUAAUUAAACUCAGAACCUUCAAAGUUCUCAAUAAAGAAUAAUCUUUAAGCCUUA
rnacentral:tRNA from 1 species